rnacentral:ribozyme from 1 species
GUAGCGUGUUCUAUUCCAACGAUCAAGGCCGAACGUGGAAGCGUGAUCGUGGUACCGAUGAUGUCGCUGCCAACCUUUACACGGUGAAGUUCCAAGG